rnacentral:rRNA from 1 species
UACGUAGGGUGCGAGCGUUGUCCGGAAUUACUGGGCGUAAAGAGCUCGUAGGUGGUUUGUCGCGUUGUUCGUGAAAACCGGGGGCUUAACCCUCGGCGUGCGGGCGAUACGGGCAGACUUGAGUACUGCAGGGGAGACUGGAAUUCCUGGUGUAGCGGUGGAAUGCGCAGAUAUCAGGAGGAACACCGGUGGCGAAGGCGGGUCUCUGGGAAGUAACUGACGCUGAGGAGCGAAAGCGUGGGGAGCGAACAGG